AUUGAACGCUGGCGGUAUGCCUAACACAUGCAAGUCGAACGAGUGGCGGACGGGUGAGUAAUGUCUCGGAACCUGCCUGAUGGCGGGGGAUAACUACUGGAAACGGUAGCUAAUACCGCAUACCAUCAGAUGUGCCCAUAUGGGAUUAGCUAGUUGGUGGGGUAACGGCUCACCAAGGCGACGAUCCCUAGCUGGUCUGAGAGGAUGACCAGCCACACUGGGACUGAGACACGGUCCAGACUCCUACGGGAGGCAGCAGUGGGGAAUAUUGGACAAUGGGGGCAAGCCUGAUGCAGCCAUGCCGCGUGUAUGAUGAAGGCCUUCGGGUUGUAAAGUACUUUCAGCGGGGAGGCGGUACCCGCAGAAUAAGCACCGGCUAACUCCGUGCCAGCAGCCGCGGUAAUAC
rnacentral:rRNA from 1 species